CGUUUUUCUGUCUUAGUAGAUAAUGGAUUGUUUUUGUGGUGCUUCCUUUAGGGAUCAGAGGAAGUUCUGAGUGAGUAGCGUCCGGAAAGAAUGUGCUUUUGUUGAAGUGGGCAGGACCGUGACCCAAAACAUACCAGUGAGAAACUGGCAACGUUGUUACCUAUAUGGGCCAGGCGCCGGAGAAAUGAUAAAGCUUUCCUGGAGAGUAUGAGAAUGAAUGUUUAUGAAUGAAUAAUUGAUUGCUCAGUUCGAGCAAUUACUGUGGCCCCCGAGUGGAUGUUUACAGUCUGAAACUGCUCACCUGCACAGACCUCCUAUGGAGACUUGCUAACUCCCCUUCUUUGGUACCUAAUAGACAAGGUUCUAGGUUCAGCAGGUUAGAAGACUCACACCGGAUCCCAGCGACACUGUGGAGUGUCGGGGUUGAGAGGACAACUCUCAGGAGUCAGUUCACCAUGUGGGAUCUAGAAUCACUACACAAGCAUCUCUACCUGCUGAGCCAUCUCUCCAGCCCCUCCUGAGAGACCGCUUAUAGACCCCUUUCUCUGCCUACUUGUUGAGCGGAGCUGUCAACAAAGCAGCCUCACAUUUGGUGACCCAGUGGGCGGCCACCAUGCAUGGUGUCCCACGGCAGAGUACUUCCCAGGUGGCUUGAGAAAACUACACUAGAGCUGCACCCAUGACUGCUACUGCAGCCACAAUGUCUGCUUUAGGAGGCCUCGCUACAGUACAGCAGCUGCACCAGCUUACAUUAGUAACAGGAAUGUCAAUCAACCUCAACAAGGCGCCUCUUCCUGUAGCAGUUCUCACUUAGGAUGGGGAGGCUAUAGGUGACUCAGGAAAAAAAGAAAGAAAGAAAGAAAGAAAGGAAGGAAGGAAGGAAGGAAGGAAGAAAAAAAAGAAAGAGAAAGAAAGAGAGAGAGAGAAAGAAAAAGCUGGUGAUUUGGAGCUUAUGCGAGGUUUGUGAUUGGUGCUUAAGUGAAGUUGAAGUGGGACUAGAAGCUCAUGUGAGGCUGUGAUUGGUAGAAUCACAAUCUAUUCACAGGCAUGUGUCACUGGUGAUGUAAGCAGAAUGAUUUCCACCCCUUUGAAGUUCAUUUUGGAAGAUUUUUCUCCCGAGGGCUGCAGCAUUGAGCCCAAUAAGACAUCUCUGAAUGCCCUUUGACUGAUGUGUUGUCUGUAUUAGUGGUAUAGUGGGCUGAACAAUCAGACUUAACAAUAGCAACCACAGAAAAGAGGCAGUUAAGAGGCCCA
rnacentral:lncRNA from 1 species